rfam:Cephalotus follicularis DNA, scaffold: scaffold12241, isolate: St1.
AGCCGUGUUAUGUGUUCAAAGCGAAUUAUUCUUUCGCCUUUUACUAAAGAAUACCGUGAGUACGUAACUUAAAGCGGCUUACCCAUAUUUUUGGAGGGUUUUCUAUUGAGACAACC